rnacentral:rRNA from 1 species
UACGUAGGCAGCGAGCGUUGUUCGGAGUUACUGGGCGUAAAGCGUGCGUAGGCGGUCUUGUAAGUUUGGUGUGAAAUCUCCCGGCUUAACCGGGAGGGUGCGCCGAAAACUGCAAGGCUGGAGUAUGGGAGAGGUAGGCGGAAUUCCUGGUGUAGCGGUGAAAUGCGUAGAUAUCAGGAGGAACACCAGUGGUGUAGACGGCUUACUGGACCAUGACUGACGCUGAGGCACGAAAGCGUGGGGAGCAAACAGG